UAGGGCUGAAACAAUUAGUCGAGUAACUUGAAUAAUUCCAUUACAAAAAAUGUUUGAGGGAAAUUCUGUGUCUCAAAGCUUCAUUUAAGGUCGUAGUACAUAUGCCAGGCCUGUGUGUGGCACUGUACCAUCCUUAUAGUUAGGGCU